UAGAUAGUAAGGCUCAGCGGUAGAGCAACUCCACUUAGUGGUUUAGUGUCGCAGGUUCGAUUCCUGCCUAUCUAU
rnacentral:tRNA from 1 species